rnacentral:rRNA from 1 species
UACGAAGGGGGCGAGCGUUGUUCGGAAUUACUGGGCGUAAAGGGCGCGUAGGCGGCGCACCAAGUCAGGCGUGAAAGCCCCGGGCUCAACCCGGGAACGGCGCUUGGGACUGGUGGGCUCGAGUUCGGGAGAGGAUGGCGGAAUUCCCAGUGUAGAGGUGAAAUUCGUAGAUAUUGGGAAGAACACCGACGGCGCAGGCAGCCAUCUGGACCGACACUGACGCUGAGGCGCGACAGCGUGGGGAGCAAACAGG